rnacentral:rRNA from 1 species
CCAUGAUUCAGCGGCGGACGGGUGAGUAAUGCCUAGGAAUCUGCCUGGUAGUGGGGGACAACGUUUCGAAAGGAACGCUAAUACCGCAUACGUCCUACGGGAGAAAGUGGGGGAUCUUCGGACCUCACGCUAUCAGAUGAGCCUAGGUCGGAUUAGCUAGUUGGUGAGGUAAAGGCUCACCAAGGCGACGAUCCGUAACUGGUCUGAGAGGAUGAUCAGUCACACUGGAACUGAGACACGGUCCAGACUCCUACGGGAGGCAGCAGUGGGGAAUAUUGGACAAUGGGCGAAAGCCUGAUCCAGCCAUGCCGCGUGUGUGAAGAAGGUCUUCGGAUUGUAAAGCACUUUAAGUUGGGAGGAAGGGCAGUAAGUUAAUACCUUGCUGUUUUGACGUUACCAACAGAAUAAGCACCGGCUAACUUCGUGCCAGCAGCCGCGGUAAUACGAAGGGUGCAAGCGUUAAUCGGAAUUACUGGGCGUAAAGCGCGCGUAGGUGGUUCGUUAAGUUGGAUGUGAAAGCCCCGGGCUCAACCUGGGAACUGCAUCCAAAACUGGCGAGCUAGAGUAUGGCAGAGGGUUGUGGAAUUUCCUGUGUAGCGGUGAAAUGCGUAGAUAUAGGAAGGAACACCAGUGGCGAAGGCGACCACCUG